AAGAGACAGCAGUCGCCACGGUAAUACGUAGGUGGCAAGCGUUGUCCGGAAUUAUUGGGCGUAAAGCGCGCGCAGGCGGAUCAGUUAGUCUGUCUUAAAAGUUCGGGGCUUAACCCCGUGAUGGGAUGGAAACUGCUGAUCUAGAGUAUCGGAGAGGAAAGUGGAAUUCCUAGUGUAGCGGUGAAAUGCGUAGAUAUUGGGAAGAACACCAGUGGCGAAGGCGGCUUUCUGGACGGCAACUGACACUGAGGCUCGAAAGCCAGGGGAGCGAACGGGAUUAGAUACCCCUGUAGUCCCUGUCUCUUAUACA
rnacentral:rRNA from 1 species